AUUGAACGCUGGCGGCAUGCCUUACACAUGCAAGUCGAACGGCAGCACGGGAGCAAUCCUGGUGGCGAGUGGCGAACGGGUGAGUAAUAUAUCGGAACGUGCCCAGUCGUGGGGGAUAACGCAGCGAAAGCUGUGCUAAUAACGCAUACGAUCUACGGAUGAAAGCGGGGGAUCGCAAGACCUCGCGCGAUUGGAGCGGCCGAUAUCCGAUUAGCUAGUUGGUGGGGUAAAGGCCCACCAAGGCGACGAUCUGUAGCUGGUCUGAGAGGACGACCAGCCACACUGGAACUGAGACACGGUCCAGACUCCUACGGGAGGCAGCAGUAGGGAAUGUUGGACAAUGGGCGCAAGCCUGAUCCAGCAAUGCCGCGUGCAGGAUGAAGGCCUUCGGGUUGUAAACUGCUUUUGUACGGAACGAAACGGCCCUUUCUAAUACAGGGGGCGAAUGACGGUACCGUAAGAAUAAGCACCGGCUAGCUACGUGCCAGCCGCCGCGGUAACAC
rnacentral:rRNA from 1 species